CUGGGCUAGCAGCUCAUCGAAUCGGAUGCAUUAGCGACUUAGCGUCAACGCGUUUGGGAUAUCCAUAGUUUACACUUGAAAUGAACAAUUAAUGUUUGCUACGUGUCUUGAAGGAAAAAAAGAACGUAAAUUAGUAAAUUACAGGAACAGAACUACUAGUACCUUCUGUAGAGCAUGGUAUUAGCAAAGUGUAUAUUGGCGUACGUAUAGUACAAGCAAAGGAAAAAAAGAAAAGCUAAGGUUAAUUAAAUGAUGAUGAACAUCAUCCUCUCUAGAUCUUUACACUUGAGAUCGACCAUCAUCACAAAUUUUCCGUCAUCGUCAACACCUGGAUGUCCCAUCCCAUGUCUCUCGCCACCAAACCAAGCUAGCUUCAAACCAAUACGUAUUCGUAUCGAUCAACCCUCACAAAUAAAGCAUGCAACGGCGGGAGAGAGAAGGGGGAAAAGGACCGAAUUUUUUGUAUUUUAGCCCUUAAACAGAAGUAAAAUCACGUUUAGACCUAAAAAAAUUUUAAAUGCAGUUUUGGACCCUUUGCUCGGCGCCAUAGCCUAUGGCGCCGAGCUAACACAGCUCGGCGCCAUAGGCUAUGGCGCUGAGGUCGUGUUGCGUUGGCACACCCCAGACGCGUGGCGUCGACGUGGAACCGAGCUCGGCGCCACAGAUCUUGGCGCCGAGCUCGGUUGUGUUAUUAAAAUAUAUGUUGCGGACAUGAGCACAAAGCCCAUCUAGCCUACUUGGUAGAGCACAAGGCUUCUAACCAUGUGGUCGUGGGUUCAAGCCCCAUAGUUUGCAUUUUUUUUGUUUUUUUUGUUUAUGUCGUUGGUGUGUCCGCUUAAAUUUAUUUCUCGCCUAGAUUUUUGUUUAUCUUCCAGGUGCACUCGAUGAUGCUGCCAUUACAGAGUCAUUAGAACUACACAAAAUUAAGAGCCGCCAAUGGGCGAUUUUCAAAACAUCUGCAAUAAAGGGAGAGGGGCUCUUCGAAGGUUUGGACUGGCUCAGUAACACGCUCAAAUCUGGAAGCAGCUAAGGAGCCUCCGCCUCGUCAUGAAUCAUUUGCUGGAGGCUAAAGAAUAGCCGAUGCUUGCAAGUCAGCGCGCAAAUCCCAUUCUCUUUGUUUUAACUCCAGAAGUUCUACACCGCCAUCAAUUAUCUGUAAAGUGCGUGUUAAAUUUUUUGGAUACUACAUUAGAUGUACCCCCAGGUUGAGAUCAAGAAUAGGUCUGUGG